GACAACGUGGCCGAGUGGUUAUGGCGUGUGACUCGUAAGACAUCCCCGGCACAUUCACAGUAAUCGCCUAUCUAACAAAUUCUACAGAAGCGAAAGCUUGUCUUCUACAGAAGACACACUCCGAAGAGGUUUCUCAUGGAGCAAUCCGCGUGGGUUCGAAUCCCACCGUUGUCA
rnacentral:tRNA from 1 species